rnacentral:misc_RNA from 1 species
AAGUCGUAACAAGGUUUCCGUAGGUGAACCUGCGGAAGGAUCAUUAACAAAUCCAAAACAAUAACCCUGUUGAAAUGUGUUUUUCCCUUGGAUAUUGGAGGAUGGUGUUGAUAGAGAGAAUGUGUAUGAUAUGUAGCACAACAGAUGAAAGUAAUAAUGAUAACAUAUUAUUAUGAUAUUAUUACGCUCUCUGGUGCGCUCUAUAUAGGACAUCAUCUCUAUCUCCCCCCAUUGUUCAACCAAGGGAAAGUUUAAUUUAUUGACUUUUGAUGGACUGCCAAAGAUGAUAUCAUAUUAAUGUUUAAACAACUUUUAACAAUGGAUCUCUUGGCUCUU